UUUUAAAGCCCAUGCGAGUCGAAUGUAGCAAUACAUGGCGAACUGCUCAGUAACACGUGGACAACCUGCCCUUUAGGUUGGGUAUAAACCCGGGAAACUGGGUAUAAUACCCGAUAGGUCUCGAUUGCUGGAAUGCAUCGAGAUUUAAAGCUCCGGCGCCUAAGGAUGGGUCUGCGGCCUAUCAGGUAGUAGUGGGUGUAGCGUACCUACUAGCCUACGACGGGUACGGGUUGUGAGAGCAAGAGCCCGGAGAUGGAUUCUGAGACACGAAUCCAGGCCCUACGGGGUGCAGCAGGCGCGAAAACUUUACAAUGCUGGCAACAGCGAUAAGGGGACCUCGAGUGCCAGGUUACAAAUCUGGCUGUCGUGAUGCCUAAAAAGCAUUGCAUAGCAAGGGCCGGGCAAGACCGGUGCCAGCCGCCGCGGUAACACCGGCGGCUCGAGUGGUAACCGUUAUUAUUGGGUCUAAAGGGUCUGUAGCCGGCCGGAUAAGUCUCUUGAGAAAUCCAGCAGCUCAACUGUUGGGCUUUCAGGAGAUACUGUUCGGCUCGAGGCCGGGAGAGGUGAGAGGUACUUCAGGGGUAGGGGUGAAAUCUUGUAAUCCUUGAAGGACCACCAGUGGCGAAGGCGUCUCACCAGAACGGACCUGACGGCAAGGGACGAAAGCUAGGGGCACGAACCGGAUUAGAUACCCGGGUAGUCCUAGCCGUAAACGAUACUCGCUAGGUGUCGGCCACGGUGCGACCGUUGUCGGUGCCGUAGGGAAGCCGUGAAGCGAGCCACCUGGGAAGUACGGCCGCAAGGCUGAAACUUAAAGGAAUUGGCGGGGGAGCACCACAACGGGUGGAGCUUGCGGUUUAAUUGGAUUCAACGCCGGAAAUCUUACCGGGACCGACAGCAACAUGAAGGCCAGGCUGAAGACUUUGCCGGAUUAGCUGAGAGGUGGUGCAUGGCCGUCGUCAGUCGUACUGAA
rnacentral:rRNA from 1 species